rnacentral:rRNA from 1 species
UACGUAGGGUGCAAGCGUUGUCCGGAAUUAUUGGGCGUAAAGAGCUCGUAGGCGGUUUGUCGCGUCGAAUGUGAAAACUCGGGGCUUAACCCCGGGCCUGCAGUGGGUACGGGCAGACUAGAGUGCGGUAGGGGAGACUGGAAUUCCUGGUGUAGCGGUGAAAUGCGCAGAUAUCAGGGGGAACACCGGUGGCGAAGGCGGGUCUCUGGGCCGUAACUGACGCUGAGGAGCGAAAGCGUGGGGAGCGAACAGG